rnacentral:misc_RNA from 1 species
UAUUUGUUUCUUUCUGCUCUCGCGAGCAUACUUGAUAAAAUGACAUUCUAAUGAACAUACAAAUGGGUUUGUAAAAUACAUAGGGCCCUUUCGAGCCCUACUAUGUGUGCACAGGGGGUGAAGAAUUGAAUUAUUAGAGAACGUGCACUUGUCCCGAGAGACCAGCACUGAAACUCCUCAAAUCGUUAAUGAUCCUUCCGCAGGUUCACCUACGGAAA